CCGCCUACCAAAUCCUGACGAACUCCGAAUGCUAUAACACAUGUCCGGGAGUGAGGCGCGGGGUGCUAAGGUCACGCGCCGAAAGGGAAACAACCCAGAUUAUCAGCUAAGGCCUCUAAAUCUACAUUAAGUUGUUUAAACGAUGUUUGGUUGCUAUGACAGCUAGGAUGUUUGCUUGGAAGCAGCAAUUCAUUUAAAGAGUGCGUAACAGCUCACUAGUCGAGUGACCGAGCGCGGAAAAUAAUCGGGCAUCAAAUGUAGUGCCGAAGCUAUAGGAUUACGUAAGUAAUCGGUAGGGGAGCAUUCUGGCCUGCGUCGAAGGCGAUUCGUAAGGAUCUCUGGAGCGGCCAGAAAAGAAAAUGUAGGCAUAAGUAACGAUAAAAAAAAAUGAAAAAUUUUUACGUCCGUAAGUCUAAGGAUCCUGAUCAACGCUAAUCGAAUCAGGGUUAGUCGGGUCCUAAGGUGUAACCCGAGAGGGCAACCGAUGGAAAGUUGGUUAAUAUUCCAACACCUGCUUAUAUUGCGAU
rnacentral:rRNA from 1 species